UACGUAGGGUGCGAGCGUUAAUCGGAAUUACUGGGCGUAAUGCGUGCGCAGGCGGUUCGUUGUGUCGGUGGUGAAAUCCCCGGGCUUAACCUGGGAAUGGCCAUGGAAACUGGCGAACUGGAGUGUGGCAGAGGGGGGUGGAAUUCCGCGUGUAGCAGUGAAAUGCGUAGAGAUGCGGAGGAACACCGAUGGCGAAGGCAGCCCCCUGGGCUAGCACUGACGCUCAGGCACGAAAGCGUGGGGAGCAAACAGG
rnacentral:rRNA from 1 species